UGGGGAAUAUUGCACAAUGGGCGCAAGCCUGAUGCAGCCAUGCCGCGUGUGUGAAGAAGGCCGUCGGGUUGUAAAGCACUUUCAGCGGGGAGGAAGGCGUUAAGGUUAAUAACCUUGGCGAUUGACGUUACCCGCAGAAGAAGCACCGGCUAACUCCGUGCCAGCAGCCGCGGUAAUACGGAGGGUGCAAGCGUUAAUCGGAAUUACUGGGCGUAAAGCGCACGCAGGCGGUCUGGCAAGUCGGAUGUGAAAUCCCCGGGCUCAACCUGGGAACUGCAUUCGAAACUGGCAGGCUAGAGUCUUGUAGAGGGGGGUAGAAUUCCAGGUGUAGCGGUGAAAUGCGUAGAGAUCUGGAGGAAUACCGGUGGCGAAGGCGGCCCCCUGGACAAAGACUGACGCUCAGGUGCGAAAGCGUGGGGAGCAAACAGG
rnacentral:rRNA from 1 species